rnacentral:lncRNA from 1 species
UGACUGUCCUUUAGAGUUCUGUCCUCAGUUACUCUCUGAACUAUACACACUAAACUUGGCUCAUUUCAUGAGAGUCACGUCUUGAAUGACCAUCUACAUGCCAAGGUCUCCCAAAUCUGCAUCUUCACCGCUGUGCUCAGCUCCCCUCUAAUGUAGAAGACCACUGGGCUGUGCAGGUGACCCUAGACUUAGAGAGCUGACAGACACCUUACACAGCCUUUCCUCAUCUUCAACCUAUUUCCCACCAGUUAAGGUGGAGUACUUUUAACUUUUCACUAUUCCUCUCAGGAAUAUCUACCUUUAAAGAGUUGAUAAAGCCAGAUUACCAGCAAUAGAAAAGUGGUUAAGUAAAUUAUGAUACCUGUAUUUAAUGGAGCAUUACACAGCCAUAUAAAAUGGUAGUUUUGAAAACUAUACAGAAAUAUGGGGAAAUAGAGUAUGUUGUCACAAAAGACAAUACUAAAUUUUAUCUCUAUUAUGAUUGCAAUGAUGUAAAAAGGUCAAAUGCAUUUGGACUAAGACUGGAAGGGAAUAUGAAAAAUGACAGUUUUUUGUUAUGUGGAAUUCUGAGUGUUUUUUCCCAGCAAGAGAUUUCAUUAAUGUUAUUAUAUCAUUUAUGCAAAUAUAUAGUUGACAUAUGAUAAUCUUAAUUUGUAUGGUUAUUCUACUCUUCAUAACAAGCUUGUGGAGCUAAAUAAUAAUAUAACAGCUACUUGUUGAUUUUGUAAACAAUAAGAUGUCAUAAAGCAACCCAAACCACUCUUAUAAAAUAUGUUUCCUAUAUCAAUAUACUUUGGAAAUAAAACCACAUCUAUCUGCCCAGAUCUCAGAACCCUUGGCCAGAAGUAGCACCAUCUUCUACACCAGUAUAUGAUUAUGCUUAAGAGAUAAAUGGGAUUAUUACAACUACUUUGGAAAUGGGGAAACUGAGGAACAAAAAGAUUUUGGGACUUACUCAAAGGCUAAGCACAAGUCAGAAUGAAUUUAUAACUCAUUUAUACUUACUUGACUAACCAUACGAAUGUAUUUCAGAUUUCUAUACCAACUGUUCUUCACUUUUAAUAUACAGUAUAAUUUGCCAAGUAAAGGGAACAUUGUAUUAUCUUGAUUCAUUGACUUUAUAUCUUAUAACGUGCUCCUUCUUUCUAUUUGCUUAGGAGAUUUUUUUAAAUUCUCAGAUACUCAUUUAUACAUGAUGGAUGACUUUCAAAGACAACAUUGUAAAUAGAAUCUUUGAUUUCAGGUGCUCAAUUUACAUGUAAAAUAACAAAAUUGAAAUUGAAGUGCAGUUAUACAUAUUUUCACUUAUUUUCCUACUCAAUAGAAUAAUGACCCCUUUAGUAAGCUAAUUCUGAUAUUGUUAUGACUACAGUUUACUGAGCUUUAUAAAAUGACAAAAAAAAAGUAAAUUACUACUAAGAAUCUGUUCAACAUGUAAUACAAUUCUAAACCAGAGUUCUUUUGCAU